rnacentral:sRNA from 1 species
GAGAAGUAUUCAAAGCCCGAUGCAAGAAUACAGGCCGAAUGGUUGCUCUAAAGAAGAUUUUAAUGGAAAAUGAGAAGGAAGGAUUCCCAAUUACAGCACUACGUGAAGUUAAAAUGCUCGAACAGCUUAAACAUCCAAAUAUCACUGAUCUUAUCGAAGUUUGCAGUGCGAAAAGUGCGUUUUUCGCACGAAAAACGGCAGAAAACCGACCCAAAAAUGUGAAAAAUCAAAAAAUUCACGAAAUCUCACGAUUUUGGCCGGAAAAAACGCCCAAAAAACUGGAAUUUCAUGGAUUUUUGCCUGAAAAAUGCAAAUUUUUAGCCCCAAAAAAUGGGCUGAAAAUCGAUUUUUCGGCAGUUUUCCGACGGAAAAAUGCUCAUUUUGAGUGAUUUUUCAUUGAAAUUCACUGAAUUUCUCCUGAAAAUCCGGUUUUUCAAGCGAUUUUAAGGCAUUUUCCACUGAAAUUUCAUUAAAAACCAGGGGUUUCCACCUAUUUUUACUCAUUUUAGACCAAUUUUAGGGUAAUUUUCACUACAAUUUCCGAAAUUUUCACCGAAAAAUCGAUAUUUUCAGGUGAAAACCACCUUUUUGAACACUAUUUUCUACUGAAAAUCUCUGUUUUUUCACUAAAAAAUCCAUAUUUUCUCGAUUUUCGCCCGAAAAAACUGAUUUUUCACCCAAUUUUACUCAUUUUAGACUUAUUUUAGGGUGAUUUUCACUGAAAUUUCCCAAUUUUUCCCCAAAAAUCCAAAAAAUUCAGGUACUGGAACGACGGGAUCCAAGGAUCGUGCAACUUUCUACUUGGUAAUGGCUCUUUGUGCACACGAUUUGGCUGGUCUCUUAUCAAAUCCGAAAAUUCGAAUGUCUCUUGUUCAUAUUAAAACAAUGAUGAAACAUUUGAUGUCUGGAUUGAAUAAGCUUCAUCGUAGUAAAAUUCUUCAUCGUGAUAUGAAAGCUGCAAAUGUUCUCAUUUCGAAGGAUGGAAUACUCAAACUUGCCGAUUUUGGACUAGCUCGGCCUUUUGUGCAGAGAGAAA